rnacentral:tRNA from 2 species
AUUUAAGUAGUUUAUGAGAACAUUGCACUGAAGAUGCAGUAGAAAAUUUUUAUUUCUUAAAUA